CUGGCUCAGGAUGAACGCUAGCUACAGGCUUAACACAUGCAAGUCGAGGGGCAGCAUGAUCGAAGCUUGCUUGAUGAUGGCGACCGGCGCACGGGUGAGUAACGCGUAUCCAACCUUCCCUAUAGUAGAGGAUAGCCCGGCGAAAGUCGGAUUAAUACUCUAUGUUUUCCAAUGAGGACAUCUGAGCUGGAACAAAGGUUUACCGCUAUAGGAUGGGGAUGCGUCUGAUUAGGUUGUUGGCGGGGUAACGGCCCACCAAGCCUACGAUCAGUAGGGGUUCUGAGAGGAAGGUCCCCCACAUUGGAACUGAGACACGGUCCAAACUCCUACGGGAGGCAGCAGUGAGGAAUAUUGGUCAAUGGGCGAGAGCCUGAACCAGCCAAGUAGCGUGCAGGAAUGACGGCCCUAUGGGUUGUAAACUGCUUUUAUACAGGGAUAAAGUGCGCCACGUGUGGCGUUUUGUAGGUACUGUAUGAAUAAGGACCGGCUAAUUCCGUGCCAGCAGCUGC
rnacentral:rRNA from 1 species